rnacentral:misc_RNA from 1 species
AAAACAUAAAUAACAGCUCAAGAUCACAUGACAAUACGAGAACCAAUAAGAUCUAAAGCAUUAAACUACGAUCUACUAUGAAAAUUGCCGUGUCUCAAAUAUUUCUUAAUAAAUAAUAAAUAUUGUUAAUUCUACAGUGCUACACCAAUCUAAAAUUGGAGUUCAUGUUUUAAUCCAUUUUGUUCCCACGUGACCAUGGAAAUAGUCAAUCAGGGACAAAAAAUCCAGAAAUUUCUAUCGUCAAGUGAUAUUCUGAUUGCAUCUGCUUUUAGUGGUGCAUACACACGUCUAGUUUGUCAACCAUUAGAUGUUCUGAAGAUUCGACUUCAGAUUAAAGCGGAUGGACAAUUUAGCUUAUAUCAAUCAUUCGUAUCAUUAUUUAAGACUGAAGGAGUCAAAGGUCUUUGGAAGGGACACAACCCUGGACAGCUUCUUUCAAUUUCAUAUGGAGUUGGAAAAUUUGGUGUAUAUGGACUCCUAUCUAAACAAAGAAAAGACUCUGAUUCAAAACUAUUCACUUUCGCCAUUGGGAAUCUGGCUGGUCUUACAGCUACUGUUAUAUCUUUCCCGUUUGAUGUUGUUCGAACAAGGAUGGUGGCUCAAGGCUUGCAAAUACAUCCAUAUAACGGAAUAUUUGAUGCCUUGAAUAAAAUUAUUCGAAAUGAGAGGUCAGCCCUAUUUCGAGGACUUUUACCUACUAUUUUAGCUCAAUCCCCUUAUGCUGGAUUUCAAUUUUUGUUCUACAAGUUUUUUUCUUCAAUAUGGAGGGACAACUUCGGUGUUUCAAAUUCUUCCAUCCUAAGUGGAAGUACAAUUUGUAGUACAUUAGCUGGACUUUUGUCCAAAAUGAUAGUGUUUCCUUUGGAUACUAUCAAGAAACAAAUGCAGGUUUCUGGAUUCUCAAGUUAUACUGGAAAUGUAAGGCUUCUACCUACAGUUGUAGGUUUAUGGACUUCUGGUGGUAUCGUAAGAUUUUACAGAGGACUAACCCCGGGACUCAUUAAGGCCAUGGUCACCUCAUGUAUUAGUUUAGUGUCAUUCGAAUAUUGUUGCCUGGCCAUUUGGAAAUAUAAACAAAAUUUUGCAUAAUUUUAAUAUAACAAAGGAAUAUUAGUCAAAUGUUUGAAAAAAAUUAUAAAUCCUCUUCCUGAACUUAAAUAAUAUAAUAUAAAGUCGUGCUGUAAUUAAUUUAUUUCAAAAUACUAAAUUGGAGUAUAUUCGAUGACGGUUGAUAAAGACGGUUUCACUAUUGUAACGCGUAGCA